rnacentral:rRNA from 1 species
AGUGAACGCUGGCGGUAGGCCUAACACAUGCAAGUCGAACGGCAGCACAGUAAGAGCUUGCUCUUACGGGUGGCGAGUGGCGGACGGGUGAGGAAUACAUCGGAAUCUACUUUUUCGUGGGGGAUAACGUAGGGAAACUUACGCUAAUACCGCAUACGACCUACGGGUGAAAGCAGGGGAUCUUCGGACCUUGCGCGAUUGAAUGAGCCGAUGUCGGAUUAGCUAGUUGGCGGGGUAAAGGCCCACCAAGGCGACGAUCCGUAGCUGGUCUGAGAGGAUGAUCAGCCACACUGGAACUGAGACACGGUCCAGACUCCUACGGGAGGCAGCAGUGGGGAAUAUUGGACAAUGGGCGCAAGCCUGAUCCAGCCAGACCGCGUGGGUGAAGAAGGCCUUCGGGUUGUAAAGCCCUUUUGUUGGGAAAGAAAAGCAGCAGGUUAAGACCCCGCUGUUCUGACGGUACCCAAAGAAUAAGCACCGGCUAACUUCGUG